CGCGUCCUGUUUACAUCUCUAGCGUUGAGCAUCCUCGUAUUGCCGACUGUACAAUCGAGUUUAUACUGCAUGGACAUUUCAGACUUUAAAGCACCACCCUAUCAUCACGAUUCCUUCUGGCGAUGUUACUCAGCAGCAGCACUUCCAGACGCAAGUGGGAGCAGAAUUAAAAUGAGAGAGGAAAACUCAUCAGUGAGCAAGAAGGGAAGAUCAAAUGCACCAAUCAAAAGAUGAGGAUACCACUCUGAAGGAAACCUGCCGAGGAAAACAUUGACUCAUCGUUUGAGUUUGUUUGUGUCUGGCAGAGCAGGAGUGUCUAAUGAUAGACAAAAGCAUGAUCAUCAGCUCUGAAUGCAGUGGAUUACAGAGGAUUAGUCAACGUCUUUUGUGUCUUAUCUCAGAUGCGAUGUUAUCAAGGCCCCGGGAAAUGCCAAGGGGGUGUUUGGUAUCUCUGCGGCGGCUGGCUUGAUUUCAGUCACAAAUGGACAGAGUUUCCUCUUCCAUUAGGAGUGAGAGCUGAUACUGAACAACAACAUCAGGGUCCAUUGUCACCAUAUAUCAGCUUCACUGAGGGGCCUGCGCUCUCAGACGAGAUAUUAUCCAGCUGUGGUCUUGGCUACAUGAUUACAGAAAUCAUUUUCUUGUUACUGAAAUAUA